GGAAUUCCGAUCUGUUGUUGCCUGGGGGAAGCGGGAUAGGUGGCCAUGGAUCCACCGCCGCCACUGCGGUUCGAUUGGGAGCGACACUUGCUAUUCUUGGAGAUGAUUGUUGAUGGCCUCCCUUUGGAGUACGAGACACAAGAGAUCAACCGCCUCACACUCGCCUAUUUCGCCAUCUCUGGCCUCAACCUCCUCAACGCCCUUGAUCGGGUGCAAAGUAAUCAAAUUUCGAAUUGGGUGUUGUCCUUUCAAGUGCAUCCAAUAAGAGAGACUGACUUGGAAAGUGGAGAAUUUUAUGGUUUCUGUGGUUCCAGAUCUUCUCAAUUCUCUUCCAGCUUUAGUGAGGUUUCUAAUAAGAAUUGUAGUCACUUAGCAAGUACUUAUUGUGCUCUUGCCAUAUUGAAGAUGGUUGGAUACAAUUUAUCAAACAUUAAUCCUGAAGCAAUCUUGAAAUCAAUGAGAAAACUCCAACAACAUGAUGGGAGGUAUAUCUGCAAUGUCAUCCUUUUGUCUCAUGGGGAACUUGCCCAAUAUGUUAUGUAAUUGGAGAUGAAUAGAUGAUACCUUAACCUUCAACCUUGUGUAUUUACUUUAUGGAAAGAGAUACACAAAGUCUAUUAAUCUUACAUUUGUUUGUCACUUGAUGUAUGCCGCAGCAUAAUCUUUUGUUUCUGUGGUUUCAUGGAUUUAAGUAAAUGCUGAUUCAAAAUUUUUGUUUCUGCAUUUUCAUGGAUUUUAACAAAAUACAAAGUCAAGGUAAAAAAAAACAUAAUAGGAGGGUUCUUGUUAACUUUGCUAAAUUCUGAACAGGGAUUUGAAUAAACAAAGUCAGAUUUGAUAAUGAUUACAAGAUUAUUGAUGUCAUGAAUUAUGUGUAUUGAUGCCAUGAUCUAGCUUCAGUAAUGUGGAGACAUAUGAUAUAUGAUAAUCAUCAUUUGUACUCAGUGCAAACUGAAGACACUAGCAUCUUCAAUUUGAGAGGUGGAAUUAAAGGAAGGAAAUUAUUCUUAAUCUACUUACUGUAUUCACUUCAAUUCCCCUAUUCCAUUUGGUGUGGUUCCUUCCUGAUUCAGCACUGAUAAUUUCUGAACUACCUUUAGGUAUUUUUUUUCAGUCAUUAUGAAACAAUAUCAUUUUUCUAUGUUCUAUAUAUGUUAAUUUUUAUUGUCAUGAUAUCACCUCAGCCCAUAUAUUAUCAUAAUAAGGCAUAUUGUAUGAAAAAUGAUCCCCAAUCAUCUUAUUUACAUUUAGCAAAAUCUCAUGUCAGAUUUACAUACAAUUAGUCAAAUAAGUGAAAAUUAAAAUUUCAUGCAUUAAGGAUUCAACUAAUCUUUCACAGCUUUGUGCCGAUUCAUUUUAGAGCAGAAACAGAUCUCCGUUUUGUGUAUUGUGCUGCGGCCAUCUGUUCUAUGCUUGAUAAUUGGACUGGAAUGGACAAAGAAAAGGCUAAGGAAUAUAUAGUUAGGUGCCAGUCCUAUGAUGGUGGCUUUGGCCUGGUUCCAGAUUCAGAAUCACAUGUGAUACAGGUGGUGCGACUUUUUGUGCAGUUGCAGCUCUCCAGCUGAUGGGUUUUAUCGGAGAAGAUAUUUCUCCUAACCAAGAAGUUAUAGAUAUGCCAUUGUUAGUGGAAUGGCUCCUACAGAGACAAUCAGGCGAUGGAGGAUUUCAAGGCAGAAUGAACAAACCCAGUGAUACAUGUUAUGCAUUUUGGGUUGGCGGGGUACUGAAGAUGCUGGGUCUCUUUGAAUUCAUAAAUAAGGAUGCUUUAAGGAACUUUAUACUUUCUUGUCAGUCGAAGUACGGCGGCUUCACUAAAUUUCCGGGGAUGAAGUUUCCCGAUCUGUACCAUUCAUAUUAUAGUUUCUCUGCAUUGAGCUUAUUAGGCGAACCAGGAUUUCGUUCACUUUAUGUUGAACUGGGCAUUUGUUCAGAUUGUAACGGUUAAUAAGUUCCUUUUGUAUUGAAGCUUGAUUCAUUAAGCUGUGCACUGAGUCUGUUGCCUCAGAAAUCUGAAGCCUAAUCCAUGGAGAUGUGUAAACAAUUCAACUCUUCUCGACAUUGGUUAGCCAAUGGCUUCGAUUUGUGCCCUGACGGAA